rnacentral:rRNA from 1 species
AUUGAACGCUGGCGGCAUGCUUUACACAUGCAAGUCGAACGGUAACAGGCCGCAAGGUGCUGACGAGUGGCGAACGGGUGAGUAAUGCAUCGGAACGUGCCCAGUCGUGGGGGAUAACGCAGCGAAAGCUGUGCUAAUACCGCAUACGAUCUAUGGAUGAAAGCGGGGGACCGUAAGGCCUCGCGCGAUUGGAGCGGCCGAUGUCAGAUUAGGUAGUUGGUGGGGUAAAGGCCUACCAAGCCGACGAUCUGUAGCUGGUCUGAGAGGACGACCAGCCACACUGGGACUGAGAAACGGCCCAGACUCCUACGGGAGGCAGCAGUGGGGAAUUUUGGACAAUGGGCGCAAGCCUGAUCCAGCAAUGCCGCGUGCAGGAUGAAGGCCUUCGGGUUGUAAACCGCUGUCAGUGGGAAGGAAAUGCCGAUGGGUUCACCCUUCGGUUUGACUGACCCGCAGAGGAAGUGUGGGCUAAGUUCGUGCCAGCCGCCGCCGUAACAC